GGCUGGCCUUUGGCUUUCUGCUCUGGGUACCAUGCUAAUAUUGAUUAUUAUUAUUUUUAACAGAUUUUGCACGCCUGUUGCAAUCAGAUUCUCCCCGCGAUCCCUCAGCUUCAAACUCGUCCCCCAACACCUCCCCGCACUCCCUUUUUUGAAGUCAUGCAGUUAUUUGCAAUAAAUCCUAAAGCAGAGGCAAUGCUCAAGUUCAAACGGCUUAUUCCCACAAAGCAGUAAUAGCUAACAUUUCUGGUAUUCUUGCCUUGCCAUGCAUACGUAGGCACUUUGUAUUAACCCUAAAUCUCACAAUCUAGUCUAUAAAUGGCUACUUUUUGCAGAUGAGGGAUCAGAGGCAAAGGGAAGGUUAAGUAACUUAACCAACUAGUUAGUUUAAGCAGUAGGUCCUUAUGCAAAGCGAAAUGGGUAUCAUUCCUGCUAAAACCUUCCUGGCAGGAAGGAGGUGCCUCUGUGCUCUGGGACUUCAACAAAGGAGAAAAAAGUCUCUCCUCGGCUCACCUUGCCUUUGCUCUAGGCUGAUGAAGAAGAGUUAAGAACAGUCAGUUCAACAAAACAAGGCACACACUUUUGCAUGUGGAUGGCUUGAUGGGGAAGAAAUAGCAUGGGGAGAAUGGGUGAAAGUUGGAAGGGAGGGAGAUUUAUGCCAAAUUUGGAUAAUAAGCCUUAAAACUUGGAUUUCUAUUUAAACGUUUUGUUUGAACAUCAAGCUUGAAAGUUUUGUCUUUAUUAAAAAUGAUUGUUGAUGAUA